AUGAACGCUGGCGGCGUGCCUAAUACAUGCAAGUCGAGCGAACGGACGAGAAGCUUGCUUCUCUGAUGUUAGCGGCGGACGGGUGAGUAACACGUGGAUAACCUACCUAUAAGACUGGGAUAACUUCGGGAAACCGGAGCUAAUACCGGAUAAUAUUUUGAACCGCAUGGUUCAAAAGUGAAAGACGGUCUUGCUGUCACUUAUAGAUGGAUCCGCGCUGCAUUAGCUAGUUGGUAAGGUAACGGCUUACCAAGGCAACGAUGCAUAGCCGACCUGAGAGGGUGAUCGGCCACACUGGAACUGAGACACGGUCCAGACUCCUACGGGAGGAAGCAGUAGGGAAUCUUCCGCAAUGGGCGAAAGCCUGACGGAGCAACGCCGCGUGAGUGAUGAAGGUCUUCGGAUCGUAAAACUCUGUUAUUAGGGAAGAACAUAUGUGUAAGUAACUGUGCACAUCUUGACGGUACCUAAUCAGAAAGCCACGGCUAACUACGUG
rnacentral:rRNA from 1 species